GCAGAAAGCUCACACCAGUUUAAAGAUACGUGAAUACAUGAAUUCUGCUCUGUCAUAACCACACGAUGCCAAAAAGAGCUGCCGCUGCUUGGAGUGACUGACUGCUCAUCUGAUGGGUCUCAGUUCUGAAGUCCAAAAUGAGAUUCCUCUGCUUAAGGACUGGCUAUUCAGAGAUGCACUUGGAGUGCUGCGGCUGCUCCUGAAAUCAGUGGGAACUGACUUCAAGCACCACUGAAACACACUCCUGGCUCUCCCAGGUGCCUUUUUUUAAUUGAAGAUGCUUGGAUGUUACAAGGUGCCUCUAACAAGAAGAAUGCAGUGUGCGUCAUGCACCGAAGUCACGCUGUAACAGGAACAGAAGCAGCUGUGUUUGCAUUGCCCACUCACAGAUCUCUGGACUCAUUUAGAAAUUUCUCUCUUCGUCUGGUAAAUAAUUCUUCAGUAGAAUAACUUAUUUAUGCUGUUUUUGAAGGGUAUUUCUAUACCCAAGUUACGUUUUAAUUGUGUUGUUUGCAAGAACUCAGAAAUAAUUUUCUUUUUCAAAGAGCCCUCAUCAUCCCCUGCUUUUUUUUAACCGGUGCACAGGUGGCUGAAAGACAAUUCAGUGCUUACAGCUAAGGAUGCUGGAUACCUUCAUCCCAGGCCCCAACCUGCCCUGUACCCUGUACUACAUGACCUUGAUUCAUUAUAGGACCUCAGUUCUCAUGUGCCCAUCUGCAAGCUAACAGCUACUGUACAGCUGUAACUGCAGAGCUGUAACUGCAGGGCUCACUCAUUGAGUGUCUGUAGGAAGAGGAGGUGAUGCAGCAGCAUCAGCAUUAAGGCACAGAAAUAGGGCUCACCUUUGCUGGUCUUCUCGACAUUCUUUCAUGCUUUCUUUAAAUGACCUUUCAAUUGGUCUCUGCAUUACUUUCCUGUUACACGGAGCUGCUGCAGCAGUGAAAUAGGAAGCAGAGAUUGACAAAGUGCAGAGUAGGCAAAAUAUGCGUGAAGUGAUUUAAUAUGAGUUGAUAGGUGUCACUGAUCUCUAUUAUAAAUAGACUGUGUGAAUUCCAUAUGAUGUAUUAUUUAUCUAUUGUAGAUGCCUUUUUGUUUCAUUAAUAAAGCUGGAAAUCAGACAUAUACAUUUCCAAUGAUGAGGUUUUGGCAAUACAAGGCAUCGUGGUAUUUGUCUGCAAUUGCUCAAUUAUUUUGAUGAUUUUCUUCGUCUUUCUCUAUAAAUAAUUAAUGCUUGAGACGUUUGCUCAAGAUUCUUAUGAUUUUAGCUCAUUUGUCCAGCUGAAGUCUUUUUUCCCUCUCUGAUGAAAGGAGAUUCAUGCAAUGUAAGGACUUACACUUCGACCUGACCUUUGCAACGCUGUGCUGCAGCACACAGCUUGGGUGCUCUGACUGAGGUUUGUGAGGCUUGUGAGGUCUGGUAACUCCAGCAAAACUCACUUCAGCAACGUGUGUUCAGUUUAAAUCUGCUUCAAAGCAGAAACUCAUUUGCUCUUAUUCUACCUGCAGUUAAAAAUGUUCCCCAGGUGCUUGAGAAAGUUAAAAGCAUACAUAGGUAGGGAAGACUUUGUGUUUCAAAAUCCUGAAGCGAGCAGCAAGAAGCAGCCAGCAGUGCCUCCUGCCUCCUCUUCCUGAAGAUGCUCAAGCCAAGAUAUCCUUGAGGACGUUAAUGUUUAAAACAAAAGACAGAACCAGGGCUGGUGCCGGGCGCAGGUCAGCGAGCCCCAGGCCCUGCAGGGACGGAUGGCAGCGGCGCUGGCAGCACUGCCUGCAGCAGGAGGUGCUGUGCUGUGCUCCCACGAGAUCUGCCUUCCCAGAACGCCUCCAUCGGUAACUGAAAUUUGUCUGCCUUCUGCAUUUGAUCUCCUUAUUUUCUUCUCAUAUGCCUUUUUAAUGCUGUUUGUAGCCAUUUCAAUUAUGUGAUUUCCUUAUCUGUAUACCAUUGAGAAUACUG